rnacentral:lncRNA from 1 species
UGGCUACUGUAAGACGCUCUCUAUCAACCUGUCUAACAAGUUCUUACCAAUUCUUACCUUGCUCAACAGGAGGGAUUGGCUACCAACAAAUCCACAGCAAUAGACGAAGUGUAUCGGUGCCGCAGCAACAAAACCUAUCAAGCUGUAGAAUAUGUGGAGCUAUAGGUGGGCUGAAACAAGGAUCGAACUAGCACCACGUUAGUUAUAAAAAGCAAGUUGAAUAAACGCUCAACGGUGGUACUGUGCUGGUCCUAGCCUAGACCGUGCUAGAGACGCGAGCCUGGACACAAAGGGAAAACACAGCACACCACUAGAAACAAAAUGAGCAGCCCUACUGGAAACAAAAGGAACAACAAUCCCCUUUUUUUAUUUUUUCUAUUUUUUCUUUCUUUCUUUCUUUCUUUUUCUUUAUUUUUUUUCUCUUUUCUUUUUUUGGGGAACCUCAAAACCUGAUUAUAUAAACAAAAUAGUACAAAAUAUCACUUCACCACUCUCACUCUCUCACUAGAGUAAGGCUGAACCUCAAAAUUCAAUAUAUCUAGCACAAGUAUGAAGUGCUAUCUUUCCUUUUGGAUCACGUUGAUGGAAACACAGAAUAGACCAACAAGUGGCUGCACCUAUUAUCAAGAUCUACUCAAAUUCCAACCCACAAUAGAUUGGACGCAGUUGUGACUAGAUGGUGACAAGAACUCAAAACUCUAAAGGACUAAACUAAAACCAGCACUCGACACGACCGAAGCAAACACUCAUUCAACUAGCCCUAACUAAGUAGUACUAGCCAUGGCACAAAGGAUUUAUAGGAUUAUGGAAAACUAAUCUGCUAUAUUUUUUGGCUUUUUUUUGGACUAUAGGAAAAACAAACACGAAGAAUUGGAAAUCUCUCACCGAUAAACCUUGCUCUGAUUACCAACUGAUGUGAACCCACUAGGGUUUUCGCCUGAUCUUUCGAUGAGAGGCGCUGGAUAACUCGAUUAGUGAAUGGAGAUGACGUUCACGGCCCGACUACAGCCUUCUAAGGCCGCGCCUUAGCAACCGAUACACCGCCUCCAAUGGCUGUCACGAUCUUGUGGAGCACAACACCCGGCCACUAGGGCACUCGUCCUGCAAGCAAUCGAAGAACCAGCAAGAACAAGUAGAACAAGUACUAAAUUACUAGAUGUAAAUGAAGGUUUCAAACUCAAUCUCUAAUGAAGUGGGGUUUCGAAAACAAGAAGACGGG